AUACAGGCAUCACAAGCAUUUGCAUUUUUUUCCAGGAGACAGGAAAAGGCAUUGGAAUGAUUCAAAACUCUGGUUCUAUCCUAGAGUGACUUCGAGCUGGGUACAUUCUAACUUAGAUGGCCUCAGCUGCAAAGCCAACUGGACUCCAGCCUUGCAGACCAGUGAGGAUGGAAAUGAUUGCAAAACCAAGAUGGACGAUGUUGAGAUGGACUCAACCCUGCUAUUGAGAUUGGCCCUUACAGGGGAGGAUAUUUGGUCUAGCGUUCAGAGUCUAAAGGCACAGAAUGAGGACCUGGGAGGACCGCAUUUUCUGGGAGAAGCCCUGGAAUACAAGAUUUGAUAUACUUAAAGGGAGCUCACAUUCCCAUCAACCUGGAGCAACUCACCUGGGAAUGUCUGAGUUGGCCUCAAAGUCUCAGCCAAAUUCGGACCUGUCUAAGGAAUGUGGAAGCUGAAACCACCUUCACCUGGAUCUUUGCCCCGUGGCAACAUCCUUGCCCUGUGAAUUGCUGCCUACAUAUAUGGAAGUUGAAGAGAGGAGACAUGUUUUAGCCAAACAGAUAACAUAAAUGAUUUUUAUUAUGGAAUUAAAUAAUUAUGUAGAUAUAUUAGAGCAAAGUUAUUUUAUCUGGAUUGUAUUUUGGCCUAUGUGUCCUAUUCAACAACAAUCUUUUUAAAAAAAUUUACAUCCUCCUGCA
rnacentral:lncRNA from 1 species